rnacentral:rRNA from 1 species
UACGUAGGGCGCAAGCGUUGUCCGGAAUUAUUGGGCGUAAAGAGCUCGUAGGCGGUCUGUUGCGUCCGCUGUGAAAACUCGGGGCUUAACCCCGGGCCUGCAGUGGAUACGGGCAGACUAGAGGUAGGUAGGGGAGAAUGGAAUUCCCGGUGUAGCGGUGAAAUGCGCAGAUAUCGGGAGGAACACCGGUGGCGAAGGCGGUUCUCUGGGCCUUACCUGACGCUGAGGAGCGAAAGCGUGGGGAGCGAACAGG